rnacentral:rRNA from 1 species
UACGUAGGUGGCAAGCGAUACUCGGAAUCACUAGGCGUAAAGCGCAGGUAGGCGGUUUAGUAAGUCUUUUGUGAAAGCUCCCGGCUUAACUGGGAGAGGUCAAAGGAAACUACUAGGCUAGAGUUUGGUAGGGGAUACUGGAAUUCCUGGUGUAGCGGUGAAAUGCGCAGAUAUCAGGAGGAACACCGGUGGCGAAGGCGGAUCUCUGGGCCGAUACUGACGCUGAGGAGCGAAAGCGUGGGGAGCGAACAGG